rnacentral:tRNA from 1 species
GUGCCCCGGUCGAAAGGGCGUGUAUUCCUCCUGGGCUCGGGCCCUGGGCAUCCGGGGCUGCUGACCGUCGCAGCACGCGACAUUC